GACGAACGCUGGCGGCGUGCUUAACACAUGCAAGUCGAACGGAAAGGCCCUGCUUUUGUGGGGUGCUCGAGUGGCGAACGGGUGAGUAACACGUGAGUAACCUGCCCUUGACUUUGGGAUAACUUCAGGAAACUGGGGCUAAUACCGGAUAGGAGCUCCUGCUGCAUGGUGGGGGUUGGAAAGUUUCGGCGGUUGGGGAUGGACUCGCGGCUUAUCCGCGUGAUGGUGGGGUAGUGGCUUACCAAGGCUUUGACGGGUAUCCGGCCUGAGAGGGUGGUCGGCCGCCUGGGAAGGGGGACGGGCACCAUGGGACUGCGGGACGGCCCAGAAGGCUACCGGAGGCAACAGGGGGGAAUAUUGCACAAUGGGGCGGAGUCUGAUGCAACAACCCCCGGGUCGGGAAGCUCUGCUUUGGGGUGAAAACCGCUUUCGCCUGUGACGAAGCGUGCGUGACGGUAAUGGGUAAAGAAGCACCGGCUAACUACGUG
rnacentral:rRNA from 1 species